GGGGGGGGGAGAGGGAGAGGAAUUUUUUGCUUGUUUUACUGCAAAUCCAUUAUUUUUUUACAAGGAUGAAAACCCAGAGUUUGCAUUCAGUGAAAAGGACACUGGAAUUUUACUUGAUUUUACACCAACUAGCUGCAUUCUGCAACUUUAUAGUUUUGUCACAGAAUUUUAGAGUCACCAGUAAUUGUACAUUAGUUUAUUGCUGAAAAUGGAUUCUUGGAUGACAGAAUGAUAAGAAGAAAUGGGCGUUUGUUCAGUCCCAAUAUAUAAAAUUCAGAAGAGACAGGAAGGUCUGCGUGCAUUUCUGGCCCACACAGUCAAAAUUCAUGAUAGGAAACAGACACUAAAGAGAAACAAGCACUUGCCAAAUUACAUGUGCUUUUUUAAAACUUGGUAUUUUAUUGCAUUUACUCCACAUACUGUACUCAUUACCAAUCCUGUGAGGAAAUUCAGCCCUUUGUAAAUAUUCAGUGAAAAAGACGAAGUCCAUCUGCCGACAGAGUACGGAGGGAACGUGUACUACUGAAAUAGCGAUGCAAAGAUUGGGUAUGUGGAAAGAAAAAAGUCAAAUUUUUAAAGAGCAGAAGAAUUACUGGUGGAUGAUGAAUUCAGUGUAGAUCAACUAGAACCUGUUGUACAGCAAGAAUUGAACAUCAAUUCCAGAACUAGAGAACAUUUUACCUAAAAGGUUGUAUGGAAGAGGCACUCCAGUAACACAGUGUUACCUGUCAGUCAAGCAGGAGUCACCACUAACAGUACUGAUCUAUGGAUUUUGUAUUUAGUGUAUAUGAGAAUGAGAAAAACAGCUCUGUGACACAGGAGUCAUUACAUUAGUGGUAAGAUGAACUUACUCUACAGUGUAGCUGCCUUUUGGACAAACUUAGAUUUAGCCAAAUGCUUCCAUUAGCCUUUCUACAACUUCAGAUAUUCCUUGAUCAGCGUGUGAUAUCAAUUACCUCCUGUGUCAUCCUUUCUUGUUUUCUUCACUGUUAAAAAUCCUUCUAAAUCCCUUCGAAAUCAGUGGGUUUCAUCCUUGGAAGCAGCUUCUGCAAUGCAUAUCAAGGCAACCUUCAGUGAGUCACAAGGAGGUUGACUGGUCAUCAGCUACAGCCUUCUGCAGAGCUGCUAACAUAGGCUUUUCCUCAUGACUUUCUGAGCCUCACUAACAUCAUAAAUCUGAGAGGUGGGGGAGUUGGUGCAAGGAAUCCACGAGAGAGAGGAAAGAGAGGCAAUCGUCCUUCUAAGGGAAGAAUGUUAAGACCAGCAAGGUAAGAACCUAAUGUUUUAGCAUGUUUAUGUAUUUAAUUCAUAAUGGCAGAGAGAUUCCCAACAGAGUUAAUACAGCAGAUUGUAUGGGGAAAAUUCUUCUUUGCAUCUCACAGAAAAAUUACAAGAAGGACAGCUGUAGAAACUGCAAAAGAAACCUAAAGAACCAAAUGAAGGAUUAAAUGUUGUUUACAUGCUAUGCUACAGAUUUCUGUUGUAAGGAUAUUAAUGUUGUUAAACUUCCAUUUUAACUCCAUAGGACAAUACAAGCACAUAAGGAAUUGAGAAGAAUAUUUUGUUUGCUCUCCUUUUGAAGGAUUAACUACUGCUUUUUAUAAUCUGCAGAGACUUGCAGGAGGGAAAAUGCAAAGCACAGCAUCCAACAUAUUAACAUGCUAAUUUAGAGCGAAUGUAAAAAGUAGUUUCACUUGCUUGCAUCUUCAUGUUACUCUCUUAGAGAACCUGUUAAGCAAGGCCUGGCCCUGUCAUAAUUAGCAACCCUGGGGGGAGAACCUACCUUACGUAUCCUGUGGCAGCCCCUCAUGAGCAACAUGGGACCAGCAUAGAUCAAGGAUGGGAUGACAGAUACUGCAAUCGUCCUGCUUGUAAAAUGUGACAUUUAGUAAACAAUCAUAAAGUAGCAGGGAAGAUUUAAACAUUAAACAGAAGUUGGAGAGGGGCUUGUGUGGGAGUGUGUUUAUCUUAAUGGGAGGCUUGGGAGCGCUGCGUGCUGUGCCAUGCCGUGCAGCCGUUUGGCUUUGUGGCUGAAAGCAGCCAUGCUGGUUUGGUGAAGCGACUGAGAGCUAAAGUAUGUGCCUUGCAUUCUGUUUGAUUGCUGUAGCUUGUGCUGCAUUCUCACGGGGUGGUUAACAUGCCUGCCUCUAAUGCUUUUAACUGUACUCUGUCUUUAUGGUGCUCAGAGAGCUGAUGCUGUGACUGCUAUCCUUUGCUUCUCCAGUACAGUUAAAAAAAAAAAAAAUCAUUAUUUCAGGGAACAGUUGUUCUGACUAGAAAGAUGAAAAAAUGUUUUAUGUUCUAUUUUGAGCAUUUAAUAUCACAAAGAACAAUACCUCUGAGUAAUCUCUUAAACUUUAGCUGCUCUGUGACCUCAAGUGAUUUCACUGUCUUUUCAGUCCUUAUGUUAGAGUGCUCCUCCAGCAUCAUUACUUACAUCCCAGAGAACUCAGUUCAGAACAUUUUGAGAGGAGUGAUCAGAAAUAAUAAGUGAGAAAACAAACAAAAAGCAACAAACCUGAGGAAUUCAUGUGCAUGUCUUUGGAACUAACAAAUACUUUUUCAAUAAACAAAGGGCAAGAUGUUAGGAGCUUCCUUGCUUCCUUGUUCUGAUUCACAAGAGAGUAAUGAACCCAGUAGAAAAAAUGUCAUAUUUGGUAAAGUAUAUGGUAUGUCUCUAAAGGUACAGGUACACAGAGAACCUGUGAGAAUAUCUGUGCCUUUGUGUAAAGAGCUAACUUGCUACAAGAUGAGUAGGAUCCUGACACUCAGCAUCAAAUAAAGUUUCCAGAAAUGUUAGAAAAGACAUUGAUGGAUAAAUUGCAUUUUCUAACUUUGGAAGAGACAUUAGAGGAAGGAAAAUGUUGAAUGAACAGAAGUUGAUACUGUGUUGGGAAUUUAGGGAUAGUAUGUCUCACCUUUUCAUGAAAAUCUGACAAAUUCAUAGCAUUUACUACCUUGAAAUAAAACUACAUGAGCAGCAACAGCCAAUUGUAAAAGAAACCCCACUGCUUCCAGAUACACUUAAAGAGCAACUCCCACUCUUCAAAGGUUUUCUGACAUAAAAGUUUCCAGCAGAAGAACAUAUGUGGAAUAAUAAAGCUCAGUGAAAACCAACUCUCACAAAAAGGUGAGUUGCUGUUAGAAUUCUAUAGCAGAAUGGUAUCAAUUUUGGCAUGAGUUUACUAUGAGACACAGUACAAGGAAAAAAAUAUUAUUUUGAUUGUUAUAUAAGAACACAGUAUAUCACAAAGUAGAUCUUUGCUGAAUUUGUUUUAAAAUAAUGUGGAGUAUGAUUAUUGAAAAGCAAUAGAAAUGCUGGCUUUUUUCAUACUUUGUUAUACACUUACUGUUAAACCUAAGAACCUUCUUAAAGGUUCUUUCAUCAAAGUUUGCAAGAAACUUAGGGAUAUUCUAAAAGAACUGCAUUGGUCCAAAGUAUUUUUCUUCACUGUAGUGUAAGUUAUAUGCACAGUAGAUUUCAAAACAGAAUGUAUAAAAUGAGGGCUACUGCUUCCCAUUAUUCUUUAAGUUUACAAAAUGGGUAUAAUGAAGUUGCUUAUAAUGUAUCAUGUAGAUUAGUAACUUCCUAUUAGAACAUUAAAUGAAUUCAAUCUGUAUUGAAGCUCAUAUAUUCAAAGUCACUUAAGAUUGUUUUCUUCCCUCUCAUAGGUGACAGCCAGGAAUCCUGCAUCUAAGAAAGACGGUGAUCAGGAUUCAGCUUUUAUAGGCUCUUAGAAAAGGAGAGAUGUUCUUGUAUCCAUGUUGGGCUGAAGAUGACCUAGACUGAGAUUCCCAAAUUCUAACGCAUGUACUGCAGCAAAGCUCUGUGUAGAUAAUUCCUGAGUAGCAAAGCACAUAGUCCUGGCUGAUACUGAAAGCUGUUGAUACAGCAAUUUCUGCUACUGCGACCUACAAUGGCUGCAGGAUGUGAGUGAGCAAGAUGGACUUGGGAACCACCAAUGUGGAUGUGUUUACUUCAACUGCAGAUUGAGGUAAUGUGCUCUUAGUUUAGUUGAAGAACAACAAGAGAAUGCUAAUAAGCAUGAAGAAUAUAAAGAAGUUAAUGAAAGCAACAUAAAUUAGGUGGUGGAAAAAGAUAAGCCUUGCUAGUUGGAUGAAAAGGGAACAAGAGACCAUGGCCCAAACAUAAGAACGUAUUUUAUUGCAUUUGGUGUUUUCUUUUUCCUGCUUUCCUUCCAAGGGAAACUGAAAAGUGGAGCAGCUAGCGUUAACCAUUUUCUAACACAGCUAUUCAAAACUUGUUGAAUUACACAACUUGUAUUGAAAAAAAUAGGAACUGCUGGUGCUGAGUUCUAUUACAAAUUAGGCCAAUUGAGAAACUGUUGCAUAACUGAUCUGCAAAAGAUAAUUGCUAGGAGUUUGUAAGUUCAGGUGUUGCUGAAGCUUAAGCAGGUGGCUUAGUCUUCAGUACUUUAUAGCUUUUUUUUUUUAAUUAUUAUUCAAGUGUGCAUCAAAUUUCUGUAAUCACUUUCUCAAAGACUCAUGAAGAAUUCAUUCUCAGAAGCCUUAGAAUUGUCUACUGACGCAAGUGAUCUGAACCAAUACAUUUGAGCAAGUGGAAUUUUCAGUAAGAAGGUUGAUGGGGGAAAAGAAGCUACUUUAGUCAGCUGGAAAAGAAUAUUCAUAAAUACAGUAUUCUUGUAUAAAACUUCCUCUUUUAGAUCUACGGCUUUGUAAUCAUCAGAAGCACACAGUUAGCACAUCCCCUGGGCUGUAGCCUACAAAACAAUAGUUCAAAUUUUAGGGCAUCUAGUACCAAAACAAAACCAACAUGAUCUAGUGAUUCAAAGCACUGAAUCAGUAUAAACUCAAGCUGCCGAUACAAAAUUGUUCAGACGGGUUGGUCAGGAAUUUGUGGGACAGGUACCUUCAAGCUGUCUGACUUUCUGUGGUUCUGCUGCUGCGUGCCUGACUUUCAUAGUUUGCCCAAAUUUCUUUAUAAAAGUUCAUUUUUGUCUUACCCACUUCCUAUGCUCAGAUGUAUUGUUUGUUUAAGUCUUCAGGUUCCCUAUCCUCCCUCCUUUUUUCAUUGGAUGUUCACAGGACAUUAACUCAACGGAUUUUAUUGAUCUUUGCCUCAGAUCUUGACCUAUCCAAAUAUUCAGAAACUUAUGGCCACUUCCUUUGGUGGUGGUGGUGGUGGUUUUUCUUUGGCCUUGAUAUGAGCUAUGUGGAUGCAGUUGCCACAUCUUUAUGACAUGCUCUAUCUCAGUGGCUCUAAGCGGAGGCUGUACCAUCUGCCUCUCUCUGGUCUGUCCUGAUACUUUCCUCAUCUUGGAACUGCCCAACUCAAUUUUGAAGAAGGAAAUUCAAAUACACAUCUUGACAUAGUCAUCAAUUCUGGUCAAAAACUGAUGGUAAAAGUAAAGCCAUGCAUGAAAAGUUGGCCUUUCUGUUUUCCCCCAGUGAUUGUUAACCACAUAAUAAACUGGAGACGGUGUGUCAGAGGGGAUAGAAUUUUAGCUCAGGAGAGCAAAGUUGUAUCUCUUUAGAUGUUUCCCAUAGCAGUGAGCUUUUCAGUAUGCCCACGCAUGCCUUCUGUAGUAACAACUCUGUCACCUUCUUGUCAUCCUAAGAAUGAGCAGACUUGACUCUAUCAGCAAGCAGCCUUGAUAUCCACUCUGGAUACACCAUGCAUUUCUUCUGGCUGGAAAGCUAGCAAAACACUUUUUAUGGGAACUUUGGAAGGGCAAGGAUUGUCUUAUUGGGCAUAUUUUCUUGCCCAAAGAGUCUUGGGUGAACUGCUAGGAACAAAACUAUAUGCCUUCGUCAAAAGAAGGAAUCGCUCUUUAGAGGAUUGGAUGCAUGAGGACAGGAAUAAAGAGGGAUGUGUUUAUCACAGAGAAAAGCUACCCAAGUGAGGAAAGUCUAGCAUGCUUCACUGUUCACUGUGAACUCAGGGGACCAGAGAUCUUCUGAAGGGUGUGUCAUCUCCAGAAUUUUACUGGCUGCUUGCAUUCUUCAAACUAUCUCCAAUCUAAUUAGCAAUGCCAUCAUGCAGUUGGUGAUCCCCAGCCUCCAGAUAAUUGCAGAAAUCUGCCUCUCAGCUAAGUAACACUACUGAUGGCUGUUUCUAUGCUUCGGAUGUUCAGAACAGAUCUCCAGAAACACUGCCUUCUCUACUCUUUCUGUUGCCAUUGACCCCCAAGAACAGUUUAUGACCAAAUUAAUGGUGAGGAGACAAAAUGGGCUUUGAUACUAGCGCAUUUCUAGUCACAGAUAAAAAUUAAAUGUUAAGAAGUUACAUGAGCUUGUGAUCCUGCAGCAGGGAAGAUGGUGUAACCCUGAAGAAGGUCAGGUGGGUCAGAGCAGUCAUCCCAGCUGUGUGGUGGGGAAUUCAGGCAUGGUGCCCUGGGGUCCCUACUUUUAACACUGAAGCACGCCUGCAACCUCACUUGGGCCUUCUGCUGGGUCCAGAAAUUCCAGACCUCAUCAGCAGUGCUCACAGCCCUCCUGUCCGGAAAGUUUUCCACACCUUGACAAAGGUGCAGCAGUUAAAGGGUCAUGUAUAGGGAAGUAAAUGGAGGAUAAAUAAGUGUUUAACCAGUCCAAGCCCUAUGCAAAUUUGCCCCCAGAGCGGCAAGUUGGUCUUGGAGGGUGAAGAUGAAAAUGGCAACCUCACCUAAGUUUAUAUUGUUAGAUGAUCAAGCAAUAGGUAGACUUUUCUUUACUGUCACGGAACUAUGAUCUAAAAUUCUGUCAGUCAAGUAUGAGUAUGUUGAUUAGUGUCAUAGGGUACUACCACAAUCCUACUCCAAGAGUUGAUGAGUUUAGCAAAUGUUAAUGAAUCACAAUGACAUUUUAAAAUCCAGAAUGUGGAAUGUGGAAAUUAUUGCAAAUGUUCAUAUUUGAUAUUACAACAUGUACUGUUUGUUUAUACCUUAUUACAACUAUAUACAACAUGAAAUGUAUAGUUUCAUGGGUGUCAACUUAGUGACAUAAGUUUUCAGAACAACAUUGCAAAUUACACUUUUCUUCUGUGUGGUUUGCAGAAGUCUGACAGCUGUGAUCACUUAUUUAGGUAAGUGGUUGUAUGUGAGUAUGUGUUCUCAGAGUGGAUAAGUUAUGUAGUUUCACAAAUAGGCAAGUUUUAUGCCCUUUAAGUCUUGUGCCAGAAAAGCUGCAGAGAAAUAGUUUUUAUUAAACAGCGAGUAUAUUUGAAUAGAAGCAGCAAAUGAUUUGUAACAGAAAUAUUUAUAGAUCAUACAUAUGGCUGUCUUACAGCUAGAAUAAUUACAGACUGCAGUUUAGACUUGAGUAAAAAGAAUGGAAAUGGGGGAAGGGAGAAAUCUGUGCAUUAAGUCAUUAUACACAAAGUAAUGUUUCAAUAAAUACUUUGCUUACUAAAAACAAA